AUACGUAGGGGGCGAGCGUUGUCCGGAAUGAUUGGGCGUAAAGGGCGCGUAGGCGGCGCGGUAAGUCUGGAGUGAAAGUCCUGCUUUCAAGGUGGGAAUUGCUUUGGAUACUGCCGAGCUUGAGUGCAGGAGAGGUAAGCGGAAUUCCUGGUGUAGCGGGGAAAUGCGUAGAUAUCAGGAGGAACACCGGUGGCGAAGGCGGCUUACUGGGCUUUUACUGACGCUGAGGCUCGAAAGCGUGGGGAGCAAACAGGAUUAGAUACACUGGUAGUCCACACUGUAAACGAUGAAUGCUAGGUGUAAGAGGUAUCGACCCCUUUUGUGCCGGAGUCAACACAAUAAGCAUUCCGCCUGGGGAGUACGGCCGCAAGGUUGAAACUCAAAUGAAUUGACGGGG
rnacentral:rRNA from 1 species